AUUGAACGCUGGCGGCAGGCCUAACACAUGCAAGUCGAGCGGAUGAAGGGAGCUUGCUCCUGGAUUCAGCGGCGGACGGGUGAGUAAUGCCUAGGAAUCUGCCUGGUAGUGGGGGAUAACGUCCGGAAACGGGCGCUAAUACCGCAUACGUCCUGAGGGAGAAAGUGGGGGAUCUUCGGACCUCACGCUAUCAGAUGAGCCUAGGUCGGAUUAGCUAGUUGGUGGGGUAAAGGCCUACCAAGGCGACGAUCCGUAACUGGUCUGAGAGGAUGAUCAGUCACACUGGAACUGAGACACGGUCCAGACUCCUACGGUAGGCAGCAGUGGGGAAUAUUGGACGAUGGGCGAAAGCCUGAUCCAGCCAUGCCGCGUGUGUGAAGAAGGUCUUCGGAUUGUAGAGCACUUUAAGUUGGGAGGAAGGGCAGUAAGUUAAUACCUUGCUGUUUUGACGUUACCAACAGAAUAAGCACCGGCUAACUUCGUG
rnacentral:rRNA from 1 species